GUCCAGGGUAGCCUAGUGGACAUGGCAUCUGCCCGGUAAGCGGAACACUGUAAGUUCGAUUCUCUAGACA